rnacentral:misc_RNA from 1 species
UUUCCGUAGGUGAACCUGCGGAAGGAUCAUUACCGAGUGCGGGCCCUCUGGGUCCAACCUCCCAUCCGUGUCUAUCUGUACCCUGUUGCUUCGGCGUGGCUACGGCCCGCCGAAGACUAACAUUUGAACACUGUCUGAAGUUUGCAGUCUGAGUUUUUAGUUAAACAAUAAUUAAAACUUUCAACAACGGAUCUCUUGGUUCCGGCAUCGAUGAAGAACGCAGC